rnacentral:lncRNA from 1 species
CAAUUAAUUUUGAGUCCAUAAUCAUCCGCGAUUCACGUUGAGGCCGUGAAUAAAGGCUAGGCUCGCGUUUCAUGUCCAGUGCCAAAAUUUCAGGCAUAAUCAUCAUUAGUCAUCACCCACUCACUAAUUAUUUGUCAACGGAACUAACAUUAUCCUUUUUGUUUAGAAAAAAAAAAUCCUUUAAACUAUUAAAAUAUAUAAUAGAAUCGGUUUAUUCUUUUUAUUUUUUUUUAAUUGUACUUUGAACGACUUUUUGUCAAUUGAUUAGUUAAAAAUUAUCUUUUCUCUCUAACUUAUAUGAAUAUAAAUAUUUUUAAAAAAUUUACAGCUUAAUAUUUAUGUUUUAACUUUAUGAGACAGAAUGUCAAUCUUAGUAUAUCACAUAGAUUUUUCAGCCUUCCAUAACUUUUUAAUUGCCACAAUUUUCUACUCCAAAAUAGUGUUUGAUUAAAUCUAAAUACAAUAAUUAAUAAAUUUUAUGUAAUUUUAUUCAUAGCUUGCUUCACUUUAUGUUAUUAUAUAAUUUGUCAGUGUAAAGUUUAGAACCGCAUUCGGGUUUGUUCAGCCUUGGCAAUAUGGGGCCUCGCUCAACUCAAGGCCCAAUUUUAGAUAUCAAUGAUUAACUUUGUUUUGCCCAUUUUAAUUUAUGUGAUGAAAUAUUAAUAAAUAUAUUAUCAUUACUAAUACUUUUUUACUUAAUUAAAAAUGUGAUUAUUAUAACUAAUUUUUAGAGUACUUAUUUUCAAAUACAUUGAGGAAUGAGAGACUAAGUAUAAGCCUAUAUAUCAUGAUAUCUCCAUUGGGAUUUUAUCUAUUAAAUCCUUGUAUUUUUUUAAAUUAUUAAUCCUAAUAUUCUUGUCUGGUCCACUAUAAACCUGAAGACAUAAAUAUCUAUCAAUCUCUGUACUUGCUCAGUGCUUAUAUACACCAGACAAGGUUGUGGUGUUGGAUGUAUAAAAUGGCAGUUAUUGUUAGGAGUCCCAAGUAGAUAGCAUUAAUAAGCACUGCCAAAUGUUCUUUUUACACGCAAAGGCUCCCCAACCAACAUGUUCAUGCCUCUGCCUUUACCUGUUCUUUUAAGAAAAUGGCUUUUCAUAACUGGCGUUUUGCUUGCUAAGUGCUUGUGCAUAUUUCUCAUACCAUUCUAGCCACCGCAUACUGAUUAAAAAAACUACUCUAACAUCCAUUCUAACUAGAUUGAUUCUUCCUGUUUUGAAUUUUGUUACAUGGGAAACUUUUCCAAGAGAGCUUUUCAAUAUCAAAUUCUCAAGUAUUCUUAAAAGACUCCAUUACUGAAACUAUCAAUUCAAAUACAUAUAUAUAUGGACAUCGCAAGAUCUCAAGCUCGCAUCUCUUACAGCUGAAAACGAAAAUUCUCUUCCUCUACUAAAAGAAAAAACUUGAGGAAAAAAACACAAAAACAAGAAGAAGAACAGAGUUUCCUCAUCUAUACGUGUAUAGUUAAUUAAGAAGUAGUAGAAAGAGUUGCAGUAAUGAAUAAAUCUGAUAAAUGUCUCAUGAAAAAACUUCUAUCUGUAAGAUUUAAGAAUAGCUCCACAAAACGUACACAUAAUAGCUUUCCAAGAUUUCCAAUAAAAUGGAAUACAACAAAACCUGGUGGCAGUUCUCAUGUCAGCCACGCUAGCUCCUCUGCCGCAGCGCGAACAUGAUCCGGCCACCGGCUUGCUUCUCCUAAUCUUCCUUCUUUGAUCCACCAAGAAACAGAAAAAAACCAUGAGGGUAGGCAGUAGGUUUUCUAAUAUUCCAGCUUAUAGGAGCACAAAUAAAUACAUCGGAAUCUGUUAGAGUCGAGCUGUUACUAUAUGACUAAUUUUUCCUAUAUUGGGAUGCAUACAUUUAGUAUAAACAUCAUAGUACGGAGUUAGCCGUAGAUUAUAAAGUGGAAAUGGUUGGAUUAUGGACGCGUGGAAGGAGUAGUUAAGCAGUAG